AAAAAUAAACAACACACACUGAGAAUUCAAAAUUACACACUGAGAUUUUAAAAAGACACACUGAGAUGAAAUAAAUUGAAAAACACACACUGAGAAUUGUUAAUUACACACUGAGAUUUCAAAAAUACACACUGAGAUUAAUAUGCAAAUUACUAAUGAAUAUUCAUGAGAUGAAUAAUUCAACAAAUUAAUAUCUUGAUCUCAAGAACUCUUGUCAUUAUAAUGAAAUGCGAUUCCUUCAACCAACAUUCGUAAUAAAUUUCAAGACUUAACAUCGCUUAUAUUCAUCGGGUCUAAAUCAUUUAUAUAGGAUUUCUCUAUAUUUUUCUAUAAAUGAACUUUAUCUUAUAGUUAAUAGAAAAAUAAAAUAAAAAAGUGGGGUCACCUUUCAUUUGCGCUCACAAUCUGCCUUCGAAAGAAGCAUACAUUUUUGUAAAGGUGUUUUUUUUUCUGUUGAAGUAAUAGGAGAAAUAAAGGUAAUAUCGAAAUAAAAAAAGGAAAUUUAUUACAGAAAUCGCUAAAAUUUUACAAUAAUUUAGUUUUAGUACAGCUUAUAUGGAAAUUAUAUUAAAAAAGAUAGGUCACCGAUGAGUUGAAAAAGAUAUUUCAAUUUUAGAGCCAAAAAAUGGCAUGUUUCCACCAAAGGGAGAUAAUUUGGAACUUUUUCAAUGAUGUAUACAUUUUGAAAGUCAUCUGGGGCCAACACAAAUUGAUUGUUUUGAAUGAUUUUUGUACCAUAUGAUAAAGUAACAACUACAGAAGGAAAUAAAUAAAAUUUGUAAUGAAAAACAAAUGUUUGAUUUUUUUCUGAAAUUUUUAUACCCUCGAGCCUCCUUAAUCUUUU
rnacentral:lncRNA from 1 species